rnacentral:rRNA from 1 species
AUUGAACGCUGGCGGCAGGCCUAACACAUGCAAGUCGAACGGUAACAGGAAACAGCUUGCUGUUUCGCUGACGAGUGGCGGACGGGUGAGUAAUGUCUGGGAAACUGCCUGAUGGAGGGGGAUAACUACUGGAAACGGUAGCUAAUACCGCAUAACGUCGCAAGACCAAAGAGGGGGACCCUCGGGCCUCUUGCCAUCGGAUGUGCCCAGAUGGGCUUAGCUUGUUGGUGGGGUAACGGCUCACCAAGGCGACGAUCCCUAGCUGGUCUGAGAGGAUGACAGGCAACAUGGGACAGGAGACAGGGCCCAGCUCCCGGGGGGGGGCGGAGGGGGGAAAUUGUGAACAAGGGGGGAAGGCUGUAGGAAGCCAUCCGGGGGGGAGGAGGAAGUCCUUGGGGUGGAAAAGUUCUUCCAGGGGGGAGGAAGGGAGAAAAUUUAAUACCUUUGCUCUUUGCGGUUACCGGAAGAAGAAGCCCCGGCUAACUCCGUG